GGAUCCACAUGUGACAUCAACACAUCAAAGUCAGAUACUGCAGUGUACUGGUGUGAGUCUGGAUCAGGAGAGUUCAGCAGUGCAGUCAACAUCACUGUACAGAAUGAUGGUAAUGGUCCUAUCCUGGUGAGUCCUGUUCAUCCUGUGACUGAGGGAGCUUCUGUUAGUCUGAGCUGCAGUUUGAGAACACAACAAAUACUUUCCAAUGUGUUUUUCUAUCACAAUGACAAACUUAUUGAAAAUGAUCCCCGAGGGGAGCUGAAGAUCUCUGCAGUGUCAAAGUCUGAUGAAGGUUUCUACAAGUGUCAGUACUCAGGAAGAGAGUCAGCACAGAGCUGGAUGUCAGUUAAAGGAGCUGACAGCUCUUCAUCUCCUGUGUGGUUGAUGGUUGGACUGGUUUGUGGAGUCGCUCUCAUUAUUAUUCUCCUGCUCUUGUUGUAUCGCUGCAGAAGAACCAACAGUACUGCUAAUGAGCAGACGCUCAAUCAGGAUGGUCAGCAGCAACCAUCCUCUCUUCUUCAUGGUGUUCGUUCUGUCUAUGAGACAGUCAGAAGAUGUGAAAACACUGAAAAUGAAGGUGAUUACAUCAAUGUCACAUCAGUGAUUCAGCUCAGAGUCAUUAACAAGACAAGCAACGCAGAGCAGACCUCUGACUACAAUAAUGUCAAUCCAAUCCAUUGAGGGGCGGGGCCAUCUGCUGCGACCGGUUGGGGUGAGAGAAGGAAGACAGGAUUAAAGACAUGCUGUGGAAGAGAGACAGAGGUUAAUAACAGAUAUGAUUCAAUGCAGAGAGGUCUAUUAAUACAUAGUGAGUGAGAAAGGUGACUGGAAAGGAAAAACUCAAUGCAUCAUGGGAAUCCCCUGGCAGCCUACGUCUAUUGCAGCAUAACUAAGGGAGGAUUCAGGGUCACCUGGUCCAGCCCUAACUAUAUG
ensembl:lncRNA